GGGAUCGGGCUUUGGGACGCAGCUCGAGGUGACGGACCGCUGCCACAGGCUCGUGUGCACAAGUGGUGCUGCGCGGACACUUUGGGGGUUAGGUGUGCGUGGGCCGCCGGGGCGCGUUUCCUGCACGUGGCUCCUCGCCGCCCUCCCUCCUCCACCAGCUAGGAGAGCAGAGGGCCAGGAGCUCUAGGAAGAUGCGUGCGGUUCCCUGAUCCUGGCAGGCAGGACAGCAGCGGGAUGGUCGCGCGCGCCACCUGCCAGGGCGGGUCACUGGCAGAUCCCCUACGCGCUUGUUCUGGAUGACUGGACCAGGAGAUGCGUACCUCCGCGGGCGCAGCUGUGAUCCCAGAGAGUUAACUAAGGUGUCUUGAAGACCUAAGCGCGUGGCAUGACUGGCUGGAGCACACCCUGCGUUCCCAGGAGGUUCACAGAUCUCUACUGGAGCCGCUGCUGAAGAUGCGGGAAUAGACCAGAGAAAAUCCCGAAAUGGUGAGUCUGCAGAUCUGGCAAAGAAGAGUUCGUGGAAGACUUCAAGGUUACACUCCUGGAGUAUGCCUUGGCCAUGUC
ensembl:processed_transcript Kis2 Kaplan integration site 2